rnacentral:rRNA from 1 species
CUACGGGUGGCUGCAGUGGGGAAUAUUGGACAAUGGGGGAAACCCUGAUCCAGCAAUGCCGCGUGUGUGAAGACGGCCUGCGGGUUGUAAAGCACUUUCGGUUGGGAGGACUGCUUCUAGCACUAAUAUUGUUGGAAGUUGACGUUACCUUCAGAAGAAGCACCGGCUAACUCCGUGCCAGCAGCCGCGGUAAUACGGAGGGUGCAAGCGGUAAUCGGAAUUACUGGGCGUAAAGCGCGCGUAGGCGGCUAGAUCAGUCGGGUGUGAAAGCCCAGGGCUUAACCUGGGAACUGCAUCCGAUACUGUCUAGCUUGAGUACAGGAGAGGAGAGUGGAAUUCCACAUGUAGCGGUGAAAUGCGUAGAUAUGUGGAGGAACACCAAUGGUGAAGGCAGCUCUCUGGCCUGAUACUGACGCUGAGGUGCGAAAGCGUGGGGAGCAAACAGGAUUAGAUACCCGCGUAGUC